rnacentral:rRNA from 1 species
UACAGAGGGGGCAAGCGUUGUUCGGAAUUACUGGGCGUAAAGGGCGCGUAGGCGGCCCGCUAAGUCGAACGUGAAAUCCCCGAGCUCAACUCGGGAACUGCGUCCGAUACUGGCGGGCUUGAAUCCGGGAGAGGGGUGCAGAAUUCCCGGUGUAGUGGUGGAAUGCGUAGAGAUCGGGAGGAAUACCAGUGGCGAAAGCGGCACCCUGGCGUCGUACUGACGCACAUGUGCGAAAGCGUGGGGAGCGAACGGG